GCGGAGACUGAUGAGGUUGUCAAGGCAACGGCUGCCGAAGCUAACGGGAGCAGGGCUCGAGGCCGCUCCAGCCCUCGGUGGACAGCGGGGAUGAGAGCACGGCGGUUUGUGCGGGAAUCCGCAGCUCUUGGCAGGUGGCUGCCUGUUGGCAAACGGCGCACAGGUGAGCGCGCGGACGGCGAGCCGCAGCUCUCUGGCACCGCCGCACGCGCAGGUUCGCGUCCUCUCCGAAGUAGACUCCCAGAAUCGUGGCGAUGACCGCACACACGAGCGCACCCAGGACGCCGGCCACCAGUCCUGACACGUCCACUCGGGACAGACUGCCUUCAAACACAAACAGGACCUUCAUUUGUCAUCCAUGUCUCGUUCCACCUUCCUCUGUGAGGCGUUUACUGUCAAGAACAACUUCAGGAAACUGCAGUGCUUGUAGGGGCGUGUUUGUUGUGGACUUCCAUCCCAUACAAAGCUUAACCUACCAGCCCCUGCAGGUCAUCCUCAAAAAUCUCUCUGGCUUCCUCAUACGAGCAGAUCUCCUGGAUGCACUCCCUGUCCAAGUUUCCCUGCACCAGCAGCUCAAAGUCAAAGCUGUUGCGGAGCAGGUGACGGGACAGGAAGGAGGCUGCAGACUGUUCAUCCAGCACCACUGACUCUUCUGCAAAACACAAAGGAACACUGAAGGAGUAGGACGGCUGUCCGCCCUGCAGCUCCACCGGCUCCUCAGGACCCGGAUGCUGCAGAUCUGCUCAGACUGCAGGAGACACGGUCUCCAACACAGUAACAACAAUAAGGAUUUUCUACAAGGUCUGGAACAGGAAGAAAAGGUCUCGAGAUGACUUUCAAUACCAUAGAAAUGUUAAAAAAAAACUUUGUUCCACUCCAAAAUGAAAAUACUCCAGAAAGUGCCAAAAAUGUCCUGGAAUUCUAACAAUCAGUGUAUUUCAGCUUCAAGUCCUUCUCAGGAGAAGCAGCUGAGCUCAACAGUACGACACCAUCUCCUCCCUCAGGCUGUGGUCAGCUCAGUGAGAGGAGGGGUUUACCUGAUCUGUGUCUGGAGCUGGUAGAGCCGUGGAUCACCUGCAGCAGGAGCAGCCCGGUACGCCACCCCACCACCAUGCGACUGCCAGAAACAAGGAAGAGCCUCUGUGAAAGUCAGCAGCCGUCCAGCUCGUUAACCUGACCCCGCUGGAGCACUCACCUGGCCAGCAGCAUGCUGAGCGAACUGUCACAGCCUGCUGGAGUCAAACAAACAUGAGAGAUGCAGCCUAAAACCAAAUCCAGAGUUCUGCUGAGUGUCAGGAAGUGGAGAUCUGUGAUCCAGUCGAUCAAGCCACAAACCUGUUUGGCAGCAUUCUAGCUGAAGUAGGAAACAACGUGUUUGUGGGAGGAACACACUAUUGGUUUGCUCUGGGGGGCGGUGUCUUUCCUUGUGCUGGAGACAGUAAGUUCUGGAGGCCUUGGUGGACUUACAGACUUUUCCCAGUGCUUAAUGAAAUCCCCAUGCGCUGCCUUGUCUGUGAUAAACCCUGACGGAUUUCUUAGGAAGCUGAUCUAGAGGAGUUUGGUGGCAACAUGUGACAUUCUUCUAACUCGUCCUUAUGAAUCUGAGUUCUGAAGGAAAGGUCAGAUCCAGGCUGAUCUUUGACACACCUGAUGCCACCUCCACACACUCAGUGUGGGGGUGGUACUACAGCCAGAACGUUCCUCUAGCACGUCAGAAAGUUUCAUGUUGUGUUUUUCAGGAAUCAGAUGACAUUCUUUUUUGUUUCGUGAAGCCGAGAGUGCAGCAGGCAGACACACUGUGAGCCCUGACAGCAAACAUAGAAAACAUGAACUAGAUUCUGACUGUGAUGCUCCUGGUCCAAGUGAAGAAGUGAAGUCUGGUUCUGUUGGAGCAGCAGGUUAAUUCAAACAAAGAUUCAUGUUGAACUGCUCUUUACUGCUGAAGGACAGAUCUUUGACUUUCUGUCUCAGUUUGAACUCAACGAGCCGCUUUUCUCCUUCACAAUCUAUGGAAUUAUUAUGUUAACAAUUAAAAAACUAGAAAAGUUGAA